rnacentral:tRNA from 1 species
CGGGGUGUAGCGCAGCCCGGUAGCGCGUACGGCUGGGGGCCGUGAGGUCGCAGGUUCAAGUCCUGUCACCCCGACCA